rnacentral:rRNA from 1 species
ACGGCUGCUCAGUAACACGUGGACAACCUGCCCUCGGGUGGGGGAUAACCCCGGGAAACUGGGGCUAAUCCCCCAUAGGUGAUGGGUGCUGGAAUGCCCCAUCUCCGAAAGCGCUUAGCGCCCGAGGAUGGGUCUGCGGCGGAUUAGGUAGUUGGUGGGGUAACGGCCCACCAAGCCUAAGAUCCGUACGGGCUGUGGGAGCAGGAGCCCGGAGAUGGACCCUGAGACAAGGGUCCAGGCCCUACGGGGCGCAGCAGGCGCGAAACCUCCGCAAUGCGGGAAACCGCGACGGGGUUAGCCGGAGUGCCCGUGCAUUGCACGGGCUGUCGGGGUGCCUAAACAGCACCCCAUAGCAAGGGCCGGGCAAGGCCGGUGGCAGCCGCCGCGGUAAGACCGGCGGCCCGAGUGGCGGCCACUCUUAUUGGGCCUAAAGCGUCCGUAGCCGGCCCAGUAAGUCCCCCGGGAAAUCUGGUCGCUUAACGAUCAGACUUCCGGGGGAUACUGCUGGGCUAGGGACCGGGAGAGGCCAAGGGUAUUCCCGGGGUAGGGGUGAAAUCCUGUAAUCCCGGGAGGACCACCUGUGGCGAAGGCGCUCGGCUGGAACGGGUCCGACGGUGAGGGACGAAGGCCUGGGGAGCGAACCGGAUUAGAUACCCGGGUAGUCCAGGCUGUAAACGAUGCGGGCUAGGUGUCACCGGAGCUACGAGCUCCGGUGGUGCCGGAGGGAAGCCGUUAAGCCCGCCGCCUGGGAAGUACGGCCGCAAGGCUGAAACUUAAAGGAAUUGGCGGGGGAGCAG